AUGUCACAAGAACCGUACACCACCUCCAUCUUUGCACUACAAAAUCUGACUAUCAAUUCAUCUUCACCUCUCUCUCAGCUACAAAGCCUACAAUACAAUUGCAGCUAUCCUUGCAGCAAUGGCAACCACACGGGCGACCGCUGCCUUCUUGGUUGCAAUCAUGCUCCUUUUUGUGUGCAUCGGCGCACAUGCCGGCGGCGCAGCGACAAGGUCAAGGUGGUAGACCUCGUGGUAGAAACCUGCAAGAAUGCUUCGAGCAGCUGCCGCAACAAGCACCUGAACGUCACCCAGGAAUUCUGCGUGCAGACUCUCCGGUCCGACAAAAGGAGCUCUGAGUCCAAGGACCUCCGCGACCUGUCGCUCGUCGCCGUUGACAUCCUCAAGAUCCACGUGGCGGCUGCCGGCGGCAAGGUGAAGGAAGCACUCCAGAAAGCCAAGAAAGGUACGGAGGAGGCGCUCGGCCUCAGGUAUUGCCAGGUGGAUUACGAUGCUGCUAUCGGUACCCUCGGCCUCUGCGACGCCAUGCUCAGGGACUUCCAUGUCCCCAUGGGCGACGCCGACGGCCCGUGGUUCUUUGAACUGCCCGAGUGUGUGGAGAAGGCGACUGACCAUGUCAGCGACUGCCGGCAUGAGCUUCCCAUGGAAAGCCAGACAGUUAUCAACGAUAACGAGGAGUUGAUCAAGCUGGGCAGCCUGAACAAUGUCUUGCUAGGGCCAUAUGACUUUGAUAGUUAA
rnacentral:rRNA from 1 species